UAUUUCUUUUAUUAAAUUAGUCCGUAUUCCGACUAAGUUAUUUAUGCUAUAUGGUGUAAAUUUUCUAGAAUUAUGACUGAUGAAAGAAACCAAAGUUGGUCGUAGAUUCUACUUAAGUUUAAGCCUUCACACGCUGCACUAUUAUCAAACAUUAUAUCAACAAUUAUAUCUUAUCAUUUAUCUUAAUCAAGUAAGUGAUAUAUAUGCACUACACAACUACAAAAUAGAACUAUAAAUUACGCAUGUUCCUUGUCCUAUUAAUUCCAAGUUUUUAAAAAAUACUUUAAAUAGUUAUUAGUAUUAAUUAUAUCUGCUACAUGCUAACGUCUGCUACAUGCUACAUUAUUGUAUUAUAAUCAUGGAAUAAAAUCAUCAAGGAAAUUGCUGAGAAAAAUCAGCGGACAACGAAAUUAAUAUCUUUCAGGUUUUGAUCAUAAAGUUCAAAAUUACAGACCAAAUUCAAUCCAGAUAUGGUCUGGAAACUCUGACAAAGUCUUUCUUCUAUCUUUUUCUUUGUUUUUUUUUUAAACUUGUAUCCGGUGUUAUUUUUGCCAAAAUAAAACAAUCAUCCGAUGGCGUUUUCACGUCGAAUCACUCAUGAGAACCAUAUUAAUCGGCAAAUAUUAACAAAUAAAAUUUCAGACGAUUUGUGCAUAAUGAGUUGUCUCAACAUAAAUACUCGUUCAUUAUAGCGAGUUUGAAAUUUUCAGUGUUUAGUGUUUCAGUGUUUCCAUACCAUAUCAUAUCAUGAUUAAAGGACACUGGGACUAAAAAUUUAAUUUGACUCAUUUGAAAGAAUGUUUAAGAUUGUGUAUUAACUUUCUGUUGCAGAUAUUUUAUAUCCGACUUAACAAUUGGAAUAUUUUGCCUGAAAGCAAUAAGGUGUCGGCCAUCUUGGAUUAAUUCUUAAAAAACUCAUUAAUAAUUCAGGAGCAAAACACAAAGAAAAAUC